rnacentral:rRNA from 1 species
AGCGAACGCUGGCGGCAGGCCUAACACAUGCAAGUCGAACGAACUCUUCGGAGUUAGUGGCGGACGGGUGAGUAACACGUGGGAACGUGCCUUUAGGUUCGGAAUAACUCAGGGAAACUUGUGCUAAUACCGAAUGUGCCCUUCGGGGGAAAGAUUUAUCGCCUUUAGAGCGGCCCGCGUCUGAUUAGCUAGUUGGUGAGGUAAAGGCUCACCAAGGCGACGAUCAGUAGCUGGUCUGAGAGGAUGAUCAGCCACAUUGGGACUGAGACACGGCCCAAACUCCUACGGGAGGCAGCAGUGGGGAAUCUUGCGCAAUGGGCGAAAGCCUGACGCAGCCAUGCCGCGUGAAUGAUGAAGGUCUUAGGAUUGUAAAAUUCUUUCACCGGGGACGAUAAUGACGGUACCCGGAGAAGAAGCCCCGGCUAACUUCGUGCCAGCAGCCGCGGUAAUACGAAGGGGGCUAGCGUUGCUCGGAAUUACUGGGCGUAAAGGGAGCGUAGGCGGACAUUUAAGUCAGGGGUGAAAUCCCGGGGCUCAACCUCGGAAUUGCCUUUGAUACUGGGUGUCUUGAGUAUGAGAGAGGUGUGUGGAACUCCGAGUGUAGAGGUGAAAUUCGUAGAUAUUCGGAAGAACACCAGUGGCGAAGGCGACACACUGGCUCAUUACUGACGCUGAGGCUCGAAAGCGUGGGGAGCAAACAGG